UGAAAUAUAGCUUCUAAUUACAAAGUUACUUUUAAAAAUAAUGAAUAAAACAGCAAAUCACAGAUACAAAAAAGCCCACACUAGGUGGGCUUCUUCGUUUAAAUAAUGGUGCGUCCGAGUGAACUCGAAUCACCGACCCCUACCA
rnacentral:antisense_RNA from 1 species